rnacentral:rRNA from 1 species
UACGAAGGGGGCUAGCGUUGCUCGGAAUCACUGGGCGUAAAGGGUGCGUAGGCGGGUCUUUAAGUCAGGGGUGAAAUCCUGGAGCUCAACUCCAGAACUGCCUUUGAUACUGAGGAUCUUGAGUUCGGGAGAGGUGAGUGGAACUGCGAGUGUAGAGGUGAAAUUCGUAGAUAUCGCAAGAACACCAGUGGCGAAGGCGGCUCACUGGCCCGAUACUGACGCUGAGGCACGAAAGCGUGGGGAGCAAACAGG